AUGUCGGCGACAAACAAGCAAAAUGCUGCGAAGAAUAAGCAUCACCAUCGCACGGGGUCAGGUGGCUCCCUCGUAGCCCAGUCUAAGUGGGCCAAGACUGAGAAUGAUCUGGUUGAUAAAGGGAUCGAACCAGAGACAAUUAACUGGCCAGACCGUUGCCGUACUUGGUUCUUCGGGGCUGGCGAAACCUUGGGCCCUGUAACAGGAAAGUGCAUUUGGACGAACGAUCAAAUGGACAUACCAGUCAGGAAGCUUAAGCAGUAUAUCAAAGCAGCGCAGCAAGGGACGUUCUUUCCAGACAGAGAGAACGACAAGCUCACAAUGGCCCUCGGGAAUCCUGAGCACCCUGGACGGACACGAGGCACGCUAGGCUCCAUUCCGUGGAAGGUUGGGUUUCCGGAUGCAGGCGGGUACAAAUCCCAUGAGAGGAGGAAAAAAGUGCAGCAGACCCAAAUGCAAGCGCUGCAAGCAAGGGUAGGCGCGAUAGAGGAACGAGAAGCAAAUCACAGCAAACGUACUGCCGAAGCUUCCCCCGAAGCUACCCCGCCAUCUCAGCGCAGAAGCAGCGUGGCUUCCAUCGAGCUGCUUCAGCCGGAGCAUGCCUUGACGGCUCCUGCCAGCUAUCCCGUGGAUGCUAUCAUGGAGUCUCAAAAUUGCCACCUUAUGACGCAAUGGAUGAAUUUGAAGGUCAAGGCGGCUGUUGGCUCUUUUUAUCCUACUGAACCCGGCGCAACUUUUCACUGCCGGCCGAUUCCAGAAGGAUAUGCUAGGGUGAUGGUGGAUGAAAUAACGGAGGGAUUUGAGGACCUCCAGCUUGACCACCCUACCGGUGAAGGGGAGACUAGGCUGGGGUCUGCUCUGAAGACUCCAUGCCUAUGGCGGAAGGAGCUCAUCAACCUUCCGAACUGGACGCCACCGCCUCCUCCUCCUCCGGCAAGUCAGGGCACUCCGCCUCCUCCUCCGGCGUGUGACGAUCAGGGCACUCGACCGGCUCCUUCUCCAGCGCGUGGUGCCACUCCGCCUCCUUCUCCGCCUGCGCCGACGCGCCCGAGCAGCCAGCCUCCUUCUUCUCCGCCUCGUCAGCAAGGGCGGAAGAGACCUGCCGCCGCUCCGGCUGCUCCGGCGCGUCGUAGUCCUUCUCCUCCGCCUCGUAAGCAAGUAAAGAAGACAACCGCUCCGUCUUCUCGGUCGGCGUCUAGCAGUACAACCAGAGGCGGGAGGACAUACAGAUUCGGUCCUUCUCUGAAGACUCCGAAGUUACCAUACGAGAGGACCCCGGAGGAGAACACCGAGAUCGCAUGA
rnacentral:rRNA from 1 species